rnacentral:tRNA from 1 species
GAAGGAUGGCCGAGCGGUUUAAAGCGACUCAUUGCUAAUGUGUUAUAUCUAUUCGAUAUCGCAGGUUCGAAUCCUGCUCUUUCCG